GCUGCAGGGAAGUCCCCGUGCCGUAGAGCAGAGAGUGCUUGCAGGAGACUGGAAGGCUGAGGUUUGUCCUUGACUGUGCUGCUAAGCAAAGUUGCAGGGCAGAGCUUGGUUGCUUGCAGAAGUGCAGCUAUGCCAUGGGUGCCUGUGUUGAGGCAUCAACUGAAUGGGGCUCACUCUC
rnacentral:RNase_MRP_RNA from 1 species